UGACGGUGCUCCCCAAGCCUAUGGGGCCAGAAUUAGGCAGCAUCUCUAGAAGCAAGCCUGGAGCACCACCGGCCUCUGGCGGGACAGUGCAGUUUUUACAUGUGAGUGUUUCCUGGGUUAAUAACUGCGGCCACUGCAUUUAUUCUCCCGUGGAUGGACAUUCAGGCCAGCCCUGACCUUUAGUGAUUCCGACAAUGCUGCAGUAGACUGGCAGUGGGGAUCUGCGUGUGUGACAGUCUCCACAAGUGAGUCCUAAGACGAUCAGGUCACCUGCAUGUCUGUCCAGCCUGCUGUAGCUCUCACUCUCGAGGAAGGAGCGUUGGGGGCAUCGCUGCUCCGGAAUGUUCUUAGGGCUUCCUGAAGGCCCACCAGGGACCGUGUGGAGACGGGCAGAGGGCCAAUCUGUCCAAUUCCUGGGGAGGCGUGGCCAGGGCCCCGGGAAGGGAAAAACAGGAGAUGAGGGGAGGAGCCGAGAUGGUGGUUUUCAGCUCAGCUAAGCUCUGUGAGCUUUGGGGUCUCGGAAGCGAACCUAGAGAGCAGCACGACCUUGCCUUUGUUCUGGGCGGUGAACCAGUCCGUACUGAUGUUGAUUCCACACUUGAGAAAGGAAGAAAUAAAUGGAUGUCAUCUAUCAGAUCCCUAAUGACUCAAUACUAUCCAUCUGGCAAAAUACUGCUCAGCCUUUAAGGCUCACCCAAGCAUUGCCUCCUCCUCGAAGCCUUCCUUGAUCUCCCCAGGACCAUCAACCCCUCAAGGGCACUGGCCAUUGGUUUCUAUUGGUUUCCAUGUCCCUGCAACCUGGCUCAGAGUCUGGAAUUUAGAAGCUGCUUAGUAAAUGUUUGCAGAAUGAAGAACCAUUCACUCCAAAUUCCCUACCAGUGAGGGUUGCCAGACUCCUCCAGGAUGGAGACUUAGUGUGACCCUUCUUGGGGAUGGUUUGAGGAAGGCAUCCAUUCUCUACAGCUCCUUGGGAAGGAGAGAGGGCUGCCUCACUGGUGCAGCUGUAGUACUACUCUAUUCAGGACCGUGUUCCAUUAAGACUCAGGACUCCAUUAAUGUUUAUGGUUAUUACUGAAUGAGCGGCAGAAGGAAGGUCAUCUUCUCUGGGUAUUAGUCUUCCUGUUGGUUGAGCCUUUUCAAAAAAAAAAUCUCAAAAAAAGGAGUAUAGUCUUAGAAAUGAAAAAUAGGGAUCACCAUAAUAGCUAUCACUGAUAAACACCAUACUAGAGGUUUUAUUCAUGUGAUAUUCAAUUCUUCCAACCGGGCAAGGUAGAUUAUUGCCUGGGCCUUACCUGAAGGUCAUAUAAUUAGAGACCAAGAGAGGUAAAGCAACUUGCUCAAGAUCACACAGCUAUAAAGACCUGGACCUAAGUGGGUCUAAUUCAACGUUCAUUUUAUUUCUACUGAUUCUACACUGAUUCCCUUUCUGCUUUUCUUCAUUUUCUGAUUCUGGAGUUAGCUGAGUUUAAGAGAUAAGAGAAAGCACACAGUAUUGGCCAACAAUUCAUAGCAGAUGGACUCAGUUUCUGUUCUUUUUUUUCCUCAAAUAAGACUCCAUUUUUGUAAUCUCCCAAAAGAACACUAACUAUGAACUGUUUCUGUACAUUUUACACAAAUCUUCACUGCUAUGACUGUAUUUUCUUGACUUUAAGAUGCACACUUGCCUACAUUAACAUCCCCUAAAAUUUA